rnacentral:lncRNA from 7 species
GCAUAAUGUUUCGUGCGCAUUUAUUGAUAGAGAGAUGAUAAAAAAAUCACGUUCAAAGGGAGUUUCAUGCAAUAAAACUCUUCUGCACCGUUAUACAGUAUGUUAAAAAUUGGGACAUAAAACCCCCACCACCACUUGAGGCUAACCUUAAAAAUGACAUGAAUCCAAUACUUUAAACAAACAGUGGUUCCUCAUAUGAACAUUAUCCUUUUUAACUGACAGUGCAAGCCUAAACAACCGCAUCCUCUAAAUACCGUUUUGAUAGCUUUGGCUUUCCCUGACCUUUGAAUGUUGAAACCACAGCUUGCUAAAUUGAAAAUUAUAUAUAAAAAAACAUUCUAUCGUAUUCGAACAUCUCACGCUGAAAAUGCUCAUACUCAGCACAACGUGCGCCACUAGCAAAAUAAUGGGCAACAUCAAUCAAUUAGUCAUCUAACCGGGAUAACUCUAAGCAAAUGAACAAAUUGGAUCAUACUCAAGAUAUCAACCAAACAGUUUUGGGGAAUAGCAACAAGCCUGGUUGCCGCCGCAUCCUCGGUGUCUAGAUCACAGGAACCAUUCUGGUUUGUGCCCCAAUACAACCAGCCAACUUGGUUCAUUCAUCAUGUCCUAAGCAAUCUAUGCAACACAAUUACAGGCCUCAAAAAGCGGCAUUCUCCCUUGUGUCGACCAGCUUCAGCCACGACCACGGCCCCCACCUGCACUAACAAGUAACGCGUCCCACAGAUUGGUGGUAUCCCUUGAAACUAUGGGGUGGGACUGUAAAUAUAUGUAAGUGGUUACGAAGUGUGUACCUUUGUUACCACCUUUGGCACCAACUCCACCCCUUCCACGGCCACCACUGCCUCUACCUCCAUCAUCUUGGCCA